AUUGAACGCUGGCGGCAUGCCUUACACAUGCAAGUCGUACGGCAGCACGGGAGCAAUCCUGGUGGCGAGUGGCGAACGGGUGAGUAAUAUAUCGGAACGUGCCCAGUAGUGGGGGAUAACUGCUCGAAAGAGCAGCUAAUACCGCAUACGACCUGAGGGUGAAAGGGGGGGAUCGCAAGACCUCUCGCUAUUGGAGCGGCCGAUAUCAGAUUAGCUAGUUGGUGGGGUAGAGGCCUACCAAGGCAACGAUCUGUAGUUGGUCUGAGAGGACGACCAGCCACACUGGGACUGAGACACGGCCCAGACUCCUACGGGAGGCAGCAGUGGGGAAUUUUGGACAAUGGGCGCAAGCCUGAUCCGGCAAUGCCGCGUGCAGGAAGAAGGCCUUCGGGUUGUAAACUGCUUUUGUCAGGGAAGAAAUCCUCUAGGUUAAUACCCUUGGGGGGAUGACGGUACCUGAAGAAUAAGCACCGGCUAACUACGUGCCAGCAGCCGCGGUAACAC
rnacentral:rRNA from 1 species